AGCCAAAAUACCCGCCAUAUUGAAACGUCAGUCGUCAUAGCUUUGUGCCCGCGAAGAAUACUGGUCUUAGUAGUCAUCGCCCGAGAAAAUUAAACAAUUCAAAAUAGCCACUAUCGAAAUUUUCCGGCAUUCCUCGCGGGCAACAAGCGUUGUGACGUCAUCAUGCAUAAAGUCUAUUCUCCAAAAAUACGGGUUUAAAUCGUGAAUUUUCCAUUUUUAGAAAACUAUAUCGAACAACCUUAAGACUUAGGUGUUUAAAAUCACUUUUCAAUAGAUAAAAAUCGACUUCUAUGUAUAUGAUAUAGCGUCCAACAGAAGUUUAACUGUUGUAGAAGUGAGUUUUUAUGGACUUUUUACCGUAAUUGAACCAGGAAUGAAUGGUGGAUUUUGAAUUAGUUUAAUUGGAGGAAUAUUUCUGGUAGGAAUAUUUAAUUUGGAACAAAAAACGCAUAUUUUGGAAAUAUUGAGGCCG